GACUCGGUGGCGGACGGUCCGUGUCUGCGAUCAGUAACAUGUGGCCGUUUUCGAUGUCAACAGAAGGCGCCUGUUCGACUCAGGCCCGAGUCA